rnacentral:lncRNA from 1 species
GUGAAAUCAACAUUUCAAGCAUAGUUUUCAGCAGUGUUGUCAGACAUUUCUCAAGGUCUGAACCCUACACCAUGGAUGGAAGUUAAGUCUGGAUUGGCAAACACAAAUCAUGUUCCAAGUUCUGCCUUCCACCUGAGUGAAAUACAUCACCGCUUUCCCUGCUCCCGCCGCCAUUAAAAUUGUGUUUGGCAUCUGACCACCAAGAUACAGAUAUUUCCUAGACUGUUUUGCAGCUAGGUACUUAGAAGUUUUUCUAAGUUAUUUAAACUUCUCACCACACAAAAUCUGGAUUUGUAUCUGUCACGUAGUAAUUGCUUGAUAAAUCAUUUCUCUUUCCUCUGGAGAAAAAUAUCUGCUUUCUUUAAAAUAAAUGUUCCAUCCAUGCAGCUAAGCAGCUAAGGACACGAACAGCCACUGAUACAGGCCAACUCAUCAGUAGAUUAUUGAGGAAUCAUUCUCUUCAGUCAGAUCACGAUUUGAGUUUGAACUAACCAGAGAGUAGCAGAAGGAACGUUUUCUCAUUUCCAUGUCCAGAAAGAUAUAUUCCUGCUACCCUCCUGAAGUCAGAGGAUGAAAUCAUAGUCAAUACAUCUUUGCAGAUAAACUAUUAGAUUUCAUACUAGGACCUUUCAUUGGCUGAACAAAGACAAAGACAGAAAUCAAGGAAGGUCAAAGAAGCAGUCAGUUUUCUGGCACCCAAAGUUGUUGGAGAAGGGUACAGAGUCGGUAAAUAAGUCAUAUGACAGACAGGCAGUAUUUUCUUAUUUUAAUAACAAGUUUAAAAAUCCCACUUCUUGUACUUACCUUCUGUCUGACGUCAUCAGUAUUUUAAAAUGCCAACUGGGAUCAAGUUCAACACUGCAUUACUGAAGAAUCCAGAUUAUCUACAUUUCAAGUGCCAAAUGAAAGAAAGAACCCAGAAAAUAAAACAAUAUGAUGAUAACAGUAAAAUUUUUUAAAAUGAAAUUUAUGGUCUAAAUCCUGAUCAUUAAUGGUUAUUUCAUAUUGAAGCAAUGAGG